rnacentral:misc_RNA from 1 species
UCCGAGUUGACCCCGGCAGUCUCCUAUGAGUCCCCGACAUUACUCGCUGGCAACAUAGGACGAGGGUUGCGCUCGUUGCGGGACUUAACCCAACAUCUCACGACACGAGCUGACGACAGCCAUGCAGCACCUGUGUUCCAGUUCCCUUUCGGGCACACCCGCCUUUCAGCAGGCUUCCGGACAUGUCAAGGGUAGGUAAGGUUGUUCGCGUUGCAUCGAAUUAAUCCACAUCAUCCACCGCUUGUGCGGGUCCCCGUCAAUUCCUUUGAGUUUUAAUCUUGCGACCGUACUCCCCAGGCGGAUCACUUCACGCGUUAGCUGCGCCACUGAUGAGUAAACCCACCAACGGCUAGCAUCCAUCGUUUACGGCGUGGACUAC